CCUACGGGUGGCAGCAGUCGAGAAUCAUUCACAAUGGGGGAAACCCUGAUGGUGCGACGCAGCGUGGGGGAAUGAAGGUCUUCGGAUUGUAAACCCCUGUCAUGUGGGAGCAAAUCAAAAAGAUAGUACCACAUUAGAUAUAGACGACUAACUCUGUGCGACCAGCCGCGGUAAUACAGAGGUGUCAAGCGUUGUUCGGAAUGACUGGGCGUAAAGCGUGCGUAGGCUGUUUCGUAAGUCGCGUGUGAAAGGCGCGGGCUCAACCCGCGGAUGGCACAUGAUACUGGGAGACUAGAGUAAUGGAGGGGGAACCGGAAUUCUCGGUGUAGCAGUGAAAUGCGUAGAUAUCGAGAGGAACACUCGUGGCGAAGGCGGGUUCCUGGACAUUAACUGACGCUGAGGCACGAAGGCCAGGGGAGCGAAAGGGAUUAGAUACCCGAGUAGUC
rnacentral:rRNA from 1 species